rnacentral:tRNA from 1 species
GCCGAAGUGGCGGAACUGGCAGACGCGCAGCGUUGAGGGCGCUGUGGGCCUCGGCCUGUGUGGGUUCGAAUCCCACCUUCGGCA